rnacentral:rRNA from 1 species
UGGGGAAUAUUGGACAAUGGGGGCAACCCUGAUCCAGCCAUGCCGCGUGAGUGAUGAAGGCCUUCGGGUUGUAAAGCUCUUUUGGCGGGGACGAUGAUGACGGUACCCGCAGAAUAAGCCCCGGCUAACUUCGUGCCAGCAGCCGCGGUAAGACGAAGGGGGCAAGCGUUGUUCGGAAUUACUGGGCGUAAAGGGCGCGUAGGCGGCUGGGUAAGCGUGUGGUGAAAGCCCGGGGCUCAACCCCGGGUCGGCCAUGCGAACUGUCCAGCUGGAGCACGGUAGAGGCACACGGAAUUCCGGGUGUAGCGGUGGAAUGCGUAGAGAUCCGGAAGAACACCGGUGGCGAAGGCGGUGUGCUGGGCCGUGGCUGACGCUGAGGCGCGACAGCGUGGGGA